rnacentral:rRNA from 1 species
GAUGAACGCUGGCGGCGUGCCUAAUACAUGCAAGUCGAGCGAACAGAUGAGGAGCUUGCUCCUCUGACGUUAGCGGCGGACGGGUGAGUAACACGUGGAUAACCUACCUAUAAGACUGGGAUAACUUCGGGAAACCGGAUCUAAUACCGGAUAAUAUAUUGAACCGCGUGGUUCAAUAGUGAAAGACGGUUUUGCUGUCACUUAUAGAUGGAUCCGCGCCGCAUUAGCUAGUUGGUAAGGUAACGGCUUACCAAGGCAACGAUGCGUAGCCGACCUGAGAGGGUGAUCGGCCACACUGGAACUGAGACACGGUCCAGACUCCUACGGGAGGCAGCAGUAGGGAAUCUUCCGCAAUGGGCGAAAGCCUGACGGAGCAACGCCGCGUGAGUGAUGAAGGUCUUCGGAUCGUAAAACUCUGUUAUUAGGGAAGAACAAAUGUGUAAGUAACUAUGCACGUCUUGACGGUACCUAAUCAGAAAGCCACGGCUAACUACGUG